UGUGAUGGGUUUGUCAGUGAAGUAGGG
rnacentral:piRNA from 1 species